rnacentral:sRNA from 1 species
CAUCAGGUUAUUUAUUUAUUCAUGAGCUUAUCAAGGGUUUUAUCAACCUUCUGUAGUUGAACCUGGGAGGCCUAGGGAACCAUGGUCCUCACUGUUUGGGUUGGUAAUGGUUGUGUUGUUAAGAAUGGUUGAUUCUGCUUCCAAGCAUCUUCAGUCUUGAAUCACCACCUGGUCUGUGUCUUGAAAUAGACAUGUGGAAAAUUUUGGUGUCAUCUAGGCUUUGCUCUAUUUUGCCCAUCCUAGAACCUUGCCUUAUCCCCAGGUGCCCUUUGUCUUCAUUUCUUCUCAGAAGUCACCAUGGUGACCAGUCCAGCAGGUCUAGUUAUUCAGGGUUCCGAAGAGGCGCUACCUGAGGGUCAAGGGGGGGAGAAAAGAAGGAGACCAAGCAAAAUUUUGUUGUCAAGGUCUCGUUUAUUGGGGUGAGCGUUACAGCUUAUAAGGCAUUCAGAUAGGGGGAGUGACCUUUGUGAAACACAAAGGAGGGAGGGGCAAGGGUAUUCAGGCAGUGAUAACAGGACGCAAAGAGGUCAGGCAGUAGAUGAAGAGGUCAGGUGGUGGAGACAUCUAGUAUUUGCUCAGGAGACAUCUGGUAUUUGCUCGGGCUGAAGCAUACCGUUAUUGUUAUCUUCCUGUGCCGUACAUUCAUGGGAGAGGCUUUUGUCCAACAAUCUCAAGACUUUAUGGCAGUCAUCUUAGGGCAUCCUUACACAUCCUCCUCCAGGCUUGACGUUCCAGCCGUUAAGGUGAGGAAACCCAGAGAUUGGCUGUCAACUGCUGUGAUGAAUGAAGUUUCAGAGCUGAUGCCAGAGAGGAAGUGACCAGAUAAUCAGCUUUUCAAUCCUCCUGCCUGCCUCCUCUUUCACAGCACGGUGUCUACAAGGUUCCAAUCAUCCCUCAUGCCAGGGAGGCCUCUCCCAGGAAGACCCAGAGAGGAGUAAUGGAGUCUAGGAUGUAACCAAGAGUAACUGCAAAUGCUGGCUGUAAAGUGACACUGGGAAAUGAUGAAGUCAGAUCAUAGGGUAGCUUUCCAAAGAAGAAUUGACUUAAUAGGUGAGUGAGAUAAAAUUUGCAGACAGAAAUAAUUCUGCAUGAGAAAUCACCCAGGUACCGGUGCAGAAGCAUGCAGGGGGACAGAAGGGAAUCGGGUUAUUAUAUUCUACUAAGUAGCAGAAAACAAAUAAAUAUCAAUGCUUA